CUUCACUUUUGGCUCUUAGCUAAGAGACGUCUCUUAACUAUAAGUUUGAUUUUUGAAUUGAAUUAAAUUAAUUAAUGCCUAAGAUCUACCUAAGAAUUUGCUAAGAGUUUACCUAUAAAGAUGCUCUUUAUCGGAAGUAUCUUAGCAAAAAUCUUAGGUUAGAAUUAAUUAAAAUUAAAUGAUAAAUCAGAGUUAAAGCUAAGAAACGUUGAAACGUUGCUUAGCUAAGGAACGUUACUUAAGCUUUUUUUUUUUUUUUUUUUCUUCCGGAACGUUACUUAAGCUAAGAGGGGAGACACGUGUAAAACUAAAGAAGAAAUUUUUUUUUUUGCCCGUGUUUCUUUCUCUCUCUCUCUCCGACGGCAAAAAAACGAAGAGAAAAUGCUUUCAAAUCUUCGUCUCCGCCGUUAAUUGUUACAGCCGGUGAAUCGGAGGAUGGCAUCUUCAUCAUCUCAACCGACGGCGGCUCUCCACGGCGCCUCUGGUUCAUCUAAUCGGCGAAGGAAGGUUUUUAAAUCGGAGAGUCAUUUAUGAAGUUCUCCGAGUUUUAUUUCAAGAAAUCUGACAAAAUCCGUAAGAUUUCUCUUUCUCAUAGUAGGAAUCCCAUUCUAUAAAUACUAAUUGAUGUAAUUUGAUUGGUAUUUGAGUGAUUUGAAAUUAGGGUUCAUAGAUUUGGGAAAUUUAGGGUUUUUCGUAGUUAGUGAAAUUAGGGUUAUUUGAAGCAUCUAUCAGUGUGUUUUGAGUUUUUUGAUUGCUAUUUCGUAAUAUUUAAAGCAAAAUCCAAAAGAUUUGAUUUCUAUUUCAGUUUUUAAAAAAUUGGAUAUAUUGAUUUACCCCAAGAGUUUGCUUGAAGAGAUUGCACGGAUCAUUGCUAAGCAUCCAAGACUUCUAGUAUAUAGCAAUAAAACGUUCUUUGGUCUUUUUCAGUUUGUUUGUUUUUGCUGAACUGUUUAAGCUGAAAAUAACUCUGUUUCUUUCAUUUAUUUUAUAGGUGCUUUCGGGUGAAAUAUGUGAACACAUUAUUUAUGCACCGGCAACACACACAAGCUUUGCUUCUUUGCCAGACAUGUAUGAAAGAACUUUGACAAUAAACGGUUUCUCAAAGAUAAAGUUUUUAUUAUUGAGUUGGCUUCUAAUGUCGACCGAUCGAAUUCUUUGCUGAUUGUAUAUCAUGUAAAAGGCUUUCGCAAUGACGGGUUGGAGGCUUGGUUAUCUUGCUGGUCCUAAACAUAUUGUGGCAGCUUGCAGUAAAUUACAAGGCUAGGUAUCUACGUAUAAACAUAUUUCUCUCCAAAUCUUUAUCGAAAAACGCAGUGAUCAUGAGAUGAAAUCGGUUCUGGUUUUUGUUUAAAGGUUACUUCAGGAGCUAGUAGCAUUGCUCAGAAAGCGCAGGUGUUGCUGCACUUGGGUUAGGCAAAGCUGGAGGAGAUACAAUUGCAGAGAUGGUUAAAGCAUAUAGGGAAAGACGAGAUUUCUUGGUUAAAACUUCUAUAUGUUGUAACUUCUAUAUCAGCUUUGUCUCCAUUCCAAUAAAAAGCUCUCUCUUUAUACUUUGUUUUUUUUCCUUCAAGUUCGUGUAACCAAACCAACAAAAAACCAUUCUUUUCAUUGUAAAUAAUUUAUUAGAAUUUAAGGUUGCGUAUAAGAUCACGACAAAAGAAACAUUUUCCCUAUUUUUGCCCUCUCAUUUUCUCUAAAAUCACUAGCUUUUUACCUACAAAACUAGGUUAGAGCCCACGGUACCACCGCGGGGGAAGAUUUUUUGUUACGUUUGUUUGUGAUUUGAUUUUUUAACAUUGUUUGUUGUGUAUUGUCGUUAUUGGAAUGUGAAUGUAGUGUAGACGAAUUUAAAUUAUAUAAUAUAUAAGACAUGGUUAUUUGUGUUAGAUAUUUGUUAUAAUAGGGCCCAAUAUGAAGCCCAUCGUUUGAUUGGAUAUUAAUGGAACUGGGCUUAGAUAUUAUCAAAUAAUAAGGUUGCAGUAUGAAAUGUGUUUGUUGAAAGAGUCAAAUACGUGUACAAACAAUCGGAAAAAAAUAAUAAAAAAUUCUGAAACGAAGAAGACGAUAUCUCGAAUCUUCUUCUGCAAUGAAAUCUAACUAUCCUACAGACCCAUCAUCAGUGAAAAUAAAUCUAACGAAUAAAGUCGAUUAUUUAUUAUAAUAGAUAAUCGCGGUUAUUAAUGAUGAUUAAAGAAAAAUAAAAAGAAAAGACUGAUUUAAAGUUUUUGAAAGAGCUAAUAAAUGGAAAACAACAGAGUAAUGGAAAUAAAUCUUCAUUUAGGCGCAAAGAUCUUCUUCCCAUGGAGAGUUUUGGUGAUUGAUAAAUCGUCUGCUAUCACACGAUUGACUUUGAAAGUAUCCAAUCCUUCAAAUAUAUUUUCUUGUUCAACAGAAACAGAGAAUAUGAAUGUUUGACCAAUCAAUUUUUGGAUACGAUCAGGAAUUGUUGUGUAGGCAGUACUCUGUAAAAACAAAACAUAAUUCGUUUAAACUUAUAGGACUAAAAGUAUAAUGCUUAAUAAAAAUAAUGUAUAAUGAGUACCUCGUUAAAAGGAGUAGGUAUCUAAGCUGAUGCCGGCAGGUUGACCAUGAAAAACGCAGGAUUAUCGAAGCAAAUCAAUUUGGUUUCGCCAGAGUUGUCAUUAACGUUGAGAUGAAGUUUAUACCUGUUAAAUAAUUGUCGCAUUAGACUAACUAUGUUGGAAAAACAUAUAUCUCAAUACUAAUUAAAGAACCACCUUGCCAUGACAUUAGUGACAUUAGAAUUGCAGUAGCCACACCAAAAGAUUUGUUCAAGACCAGAACUGGACUUAUUUGUGGAACUACCAGUGGUACCAACUUGUUUUAUCUUUUUAUUACAUGUCAAGCAGCAUAAAUAUGACCAUCCCCAAUCUUUAUCUAUGCCAUAAAUCUGACACUGAAGAUUCACUUGGCCAACCUUAAAAACAAAAUAAGUACUGAUUAUAUACAAAAUACAAAAUAAUGUAGUAUGGUAUUGAAAUGGUCAUAUUAGAACUAACCUUAGUGGAAGCAAUGAGUUGUGCAAUAGUUGUUAUUGGGAUGGUGGGCGAGAUUUGCUGGAUAUUUGGAAGUAUAAAAGCUAAAUAAGAUUUUGAAGAUACGUUUUGCAUUUAAAUCUCAUCAUAAUAUAUGUUUUUAGCAAUAGCAGUAAUUAUCGUAAUAAUUAUUUCUAUGAUUCGAAUACAAAAUAAAGUAUGUAAUAUAUUGUGGGCGAGAUUUGAGGAAUUUUUAGACGUAUUUGAGGAAGGUUUGACAAAUUAAUGAAUUAAUGAAUAAAAUUUGAUCUCGAGGACAAUCCAGAAGAUCAUAUUUAACUUGGUCGCCAAUUUUCCGGAAAUCAAUUUACUAUUUUGUAAUUAUACCCAAACAAUGUUAGAUUUUAAUUUAGGAAGAUCCGAUUAGCUAAAUUCCGGGUUAUUUUUUUUUUAAAACCCGACCCAAGUACAUUUGUACUUCUCUUUUAAUAGUAUAGAGAUUAAAAUUUUAAACAUAAUUUUUUAUAAUACAUUUGACGAUUAUUAAAAAUCAUCAUACCGGAUUCUGACAUCCACCAUGAUCACAUUCGUUUUCUUGAAUCAAAUUUGUAGUAUGUGAAUUAUAAACUAAUUAAACACUUAUCCAAUCAAAUUUGUAAAGAUGUCGAGCGUGUUUUUGGAGUUUUCCAGAAAUUAAGUUUAAAACAUUUGUGUUUUAUGUUAUUUAUGUUAUAAAUUGUAUUUCAUGUAUGUUUUAAUUUUUUUAAUUUGCAACAAUUAUUAAAUUUUCUAUAAUUAUAAAUUUUAUUUUUAUAUUAAUAUUUUUUUUCUAAGAACCACAUGUUAAGAGCCUACCAUUAAUCACACAAAAAUCUUAACUCAAAAAUACUAUCUCUUAACAAUCACUUUUACAAAUAAAUUACUUAAAUAUUGCUAAGAUUAAUUUCUAAGAGACCACCUAUAAUCAUGCUUUUAGUUCCUUAACUAAGGAACGUUCCUUAGUUGUUAUCACUGUUUUCUAAUUUAAAUUAAAUCAAUCUAAAACCUAAGAUUCAGUUAAGGACUUGCCGAUAAUCCUGCUCUUAUGGCUAUGAUUGGUAACCAAUUUUAAAGCUGUACAGCUUUGACAGUUACCAAUCACAAAAACUUUAUGAAAAACGGUACACUAUAAAAAAAAAAAAACUGUUUUUUUGGACAAAAACAAAAAUAAAUUAAAACGGUUACGGUUAAAUACGGUUACGAUUAAAUACGGUUAUAACGGUUACGGUUAAAUACAGUUAUAAAGGUUACGGUUAAAUACGGUUAUAAUGGUUACAGUUCAAUACGGUUACGGUUACGGUUACAACGGUUACGGAUAAUUAUGGUUAUAGUUAUUUGAUGACUACAAUACGGUAAAUAUCGGAGGCGAAAUCUUACGAGUUACCUAACUUAUUAUAAUACUUUUCAUAAAAUCAAAAAAUAUGUUACAAACCAAUUUUUCUUCAUUUCGAGCAAAAUAACAGUAUAACAUAUUUGUUUGAGAAAAAGACCAUUUUUUAGAACGUAGAUUUUUUCAUAUGCGGUAUCAUUUAUUUUUUUGAAAAUCUUAAUCUGAAUAUUCGAUAAUUUUUUUUUGCAUUAUAUGGAGUUACAAUUAUAUUUUUAAAGUUUUAUUUAUGCGGUUAACCAUAUGGUUAAAUAACGGUUUUCAUAUGUUUACCGUUAAUUAACGGUUACAGUUAAUAUAUUUUUUAACUGUAACUAAUUAUUUUUUACGGUUACGGUUUUUAACCGUUUUAUACGGUUACGGUUUUUAACCGUUUUAUACGGUUACGGUUUUUAACCGUUUUAUACGGUUACGGUUGAGAAACGGUCCGGUUACGGUACAACAUAUGGUUACGGUUAGCUUUUGGUCAUGCCUAGUAAGCAUGACCAAAAGCUAACCAUAACCGUAUUUUGGAUCGUAACUGGACCGUUUUUCAACCGUAACUGUAUAAAACGGUUGAAAACCAUAACCAUUCACCGUAAAACUAAAUUAGUUACGGUUAAUAAAAAUAUACUAACUGUAACCGUUAUUUAACAGUACGAUUAGCCGCACGGUUAACCGUAUUAUUAACCGCAUAAUUAAACUUUAUAAAAUAUAAUUGUAACUAUGUAUAAUGCAAAAAAAAAAGUCUCGAAUGUUCAGAUAAAGAUUUCCGAAAAAGUAAAUAAUACAGCCUAUGAAAAAAUCUCAUUAGAAAUAAUGGUUUUUUUCUCAAACAAUUAUUUUGGAAUGUUAUAUUGCUCAAAAUAAAGAAAAUUUUAUUUAUUAUAGGACUAGUAAAUUCAUAUUAUUAUUCUAACAAUAAAAUAUUGUUCAUUCUAUAUAAUCUUAAUUUUCAUAUGUAAUUAUAUACUAAAGUAUAUUGUAUAUAAUUUUUUCUUUCUUUCUAAAUUCUUAAUAUUAUUUAUUAUGUGUACCGCUAUGAUGUUUCCAAUCAGAAUAAAUUUUUAAAAUUUGUUAUGCGUUAUUUUUUUGUACAGCUUUCGUGUUUUAUUCUUUUGUACAGCUUUGCACUAUUCCCUAACAGUUAACAGCUCCAGCUAACCGCUCCAGCUAACAGCUUGUUACCAAUCAGACCCUAUGUGAUUUGUGUUGUGACCUUUUACCACGUAAACCAUGCUACAUUUUAGCUGAUAUGUGGCAGGUUUGUAUUAUUACUAGAAUUUAAUCCGCAGUACACCGCGGAGCUAUAUUUUUUUUAAACAAUGUAAUGUUAUUUUUUCAAAGAUUAACAGAAGAAUAUAUCAUAUUAGUUUGUAUUUUUAAAUGUAUAUAUCUAUCUAUGUAUUAUUUAGUGUAUGAUUACUAUUGUUUAAGUUUCAAUUUUUGAAGUAUAGAUACGAAAACAUACACUUUUUUAAGUAACGAUGUAUGGUCAAUUUUAAAAUUUUGAAUAUUUUACUCCGUGGUAUACCGUGGGUCGAUUUUUUUAUAACUAAAAUUUUUAAAUUUUAAAUUGUAUUUGUUUUGUUAAUAUUGUAUGUUUUGUUUUGUGUUUAAGGUUGUAUAAUUGUAUUUUUAUUGUUAAUUUUAGGAUUUCAUCCGUGAUAUACCAUUCUUUAUUAAUAUCGAUCCAAACCCGUCAUCCCAUAUAAACCCGUCUAUAUUAUCCCGUUAACUAAAUUAUUAGUGUUAUAAAAUCCACGAAAAUAAAUUAUAAUUGUUAUAAAAUCCAAUAAUUUUAGGAUCUCACCCGUGGUAUACCGUUCAUUGAAUAAUUUUAAAUUUAUACUACUGAUAUAUAUUUUAAAUUUAUCAUAUAAAUUAUAUGAUUUUUCUAUUUGAAUAUUUUGAUUAUUAUAAAUUAGUAGUUUUAUCGUUAUGCAAAAUGUUAAUAUAAAUAUUUGCUAUAAAUCGGUUUUAUGCAUAUUUUGUGGAGUAAAAUUCACAGAAUUCUUUUUUGAAGAUAUAUAGAAAGAUUGUGUAGAAAUAUUUAGUAACAAAUUAGGCAAGAUAUCGUUUGGUUAAUAUAUUUUAUUUAAAUUUUGUAAAUGACAUUAACUCGUAAAUAAAGUGAAACUCUAGGAUUCAUUUACUAAAAAUACUCCAAAAAUGUAUAUAUAGAUAUAAAACAUUGAAAUUCAAUGAUUGAACGAUAUAGUACUAUUUACUACUAAUAUGUUAUGACGAAAAAAGGUAAUAAUAAUAUGUUAUGGGUGGAAGUAUUAAUAAAGUACAUGAUUUGACACCAUUUGGUAUAGUGAUCGAUCCGUCAAAGAGAUUUGUAUGUGGGAACAACUAUUGUCAAUAUGAUUUGACACCAUUUGGUAUAGUGAUCGAUCCCUCAAAGAGAUUUGUAUGUGGGAAAAACUAUUGUCAAUUUAAGUAAUUUGUAAUGUGAAUCAAAUGAGAUCUAAGAUUACUCUUUCAAAUAAGAGAUUGUGUGUAGUAUUUUAGGGUCGAAAUCCACAAAUCUCUCAUGUUUACAUAAUAGAUUAGCAGGUUUUGAAUUAAGUUUAAGAAUAUUAAAAGACAAGAAAGCAAGUAAAAUCGGUUAUAAAUUCAGAUGAGGGAAACGUCAGGCUUAAAGAUUUCUCAGGAAAUAAACUAAUAGUAAAUCUAGCAAAUUAAUUAGGAUUAUUAUCGAACCAUUCUAGAACUCAAAACACUAAUGUAUAGCCAACCACCCUCUCGAAUGCGUUGACUAACUAAUCUAAUAUCAGGUAAUUCCACCCUCUCGAAUGCGAAUUCCUAGAUCUAGACUAGCAUUAAAAACAGUUUUGAUAUGUUCACAAAUAUUUCUAGACCACCUCUCGUAUGAAUCUAGAAAUAUUUGUCCACCUAAGAUAGUUCCAGUAAUAGAUGACCUCUCGAAUAUACCGAUUAUCCUAAGAUCAAAUUCUAGGUGAUCAAGCUAGAAUUAGCAUUAAGAACAACUUAAUGUGAAAAACUCUAUAGAUUAAUCCUAACAGGUUAUCGAUCUAUUAAUUUAUUUAAAUCCCUAAUGAGAAUCUCUAAACCUAACAAGCAAACUACUCAGACAUGGAGAUUGAAACAAACAACAUGAUUGAAUAGAAUUGCAUUAAGAGAAAUUAAGAAGAGAUUAGAGUUUAGAAAGAUGUUAUCUGGAGGAGAUAUCUCCAAUUAUCUCCCAAAGGAUUCAAACUCCCAAGAACAAAAUAAAAUAAAGCUUAAGAGAUUUGAGAUCUUAGAGAUGUCUUUAAAACAAAACCAUAAAAAUCUAUUUAUACGUUCUUAAAAACGUGCAGGGACUUCUUUGUAAAUAAAGAAAAGUUCAGGGGCGAUUCGGCAAAUCUUCAUAACUUCAAAGAGACUCGAAAUUGCAUUGCCGUCAGAUAUUGGUGUCGACCGACACCAGUGGUGGUGUCGAUCAACACUUACACGAAUUUUGGUCUCCGGAUUGCUCUUGCAGCAUAACUUUUUGGUUUUGCUCCAGAAUGAUCCAUAAUCUCCAAAUUAGUCAUGAACGUGCAUAAACAUGAAAAAGACUAGAAAAGCCUCUACAAAUAACAAAAAGACUCUAAAAACAAUACAUAUAUCAUGGGUAAAAACGGUAAAAGCCAUGAUAUAUCAAUUUGCAAAAUUAGUAUUAAAAAAAAUCUUUUUCAAUAUUAAAGUCUAAUAGAUAAACGCCAACUCAAUUUCUUUUAGUUUUGUUCGAAUUAAAUAUUGAAAAGUUAUGAGAGUAUAGAAUAAAGAUUUUCGUGUGGAUAAGGAAAAUCUUAUCCAUCACAAAAUUUUCAUAAAAAAGUUGAACUAUUUUACAAUAGACAUAUUUUCUUUCUAAAACAAACAAAUGAAAUCAUAGGCUUAUUAUUAUACAUACAUUCAGAGGAAGUAAUGGGGACAAAAACGAUAAUGUAGUGGAUUUAGAGAUGGUUAAGUAAUUAAGAAAUAACUUUGAUAUACACAUGCCGUGGCUAAGUUGAAGAAAAUAAAACAUUCGUGUACAACCUUGUUUAAAUUAAAAAAUCAAUGCUUACUAAUAUUUAUUAAACGUAAUUUUAAGUCUUGAAAUUUUACUAGAGAAACAUGAUACUUUUGAUUUGUUUCUUAACAUUAACACGUGACGCUUUUAAUAAAAGGAUGUUUUUCAAAAUUAAAAUUAAAUUAAGUACUAAAAUAAAAACUAGGAUAAUAUAUGGUAAUUGUGGAUGUUUUUUUUAUCUUUGAUGUUUGAAUAUCUUCUCCAUCAAUAAAGAAUUUAUUAAAUACUGAUUAAAAUUUAUGCUGGUUGGCCUAAUGAUCAUCAUCGCAUUCUCUAAUAGUUUUUCCGCUAACGUUAUCUGUAAAAAUAAAAAGGUAGCAUCAUGAGUAAUCUAAGAUUACUCAAUUAGUCCGGGGUUUCUGUGAAUCACUCUUACCAUUACCUAAUCCCUAAACACAAGAUAAACAAACAACAGAACAAAAAAAAACAAGCAACAAUCACUACAAGAAAUGAAGGUAUUAAUAGCAAUAUAGUAUAACGUUUUUAACGGUUAUGCUAUAGUUGAGUUUUAGAAAAAUUUACAUAGCGUUUUCGAAAAGGCAAACGCUAUGAUAGAAUGGGCGUAGAAAUAUUUUCUAAGCGCUUAGUUUUUUUUAUUUAUUGAUAGCAUAGAAGAUACUGAAACGUUAUUAUAGGGAAACCGGAAAACUGAAAAAUUCAUCGGAUCCAAAGUUUUUCUAAGUAAAAAAAAAAAAGGAAAAAAAUUGAACACAAGAAAUAGUUACAAGAUCUAAAACUUUUGGCUUUCUCUUCUCUCUUCUUAGAAAGCCAAAACACAAAAUAAUAAGGAAAUUUAGUGGUUUUUUUAUUUAUUUAGAAUUUUAGGGUAUAGAUCGGUUUUGAGGUUUAUGGCAUAGGGUUUAGAAUAUUUUUCUUAAAUUCUAUUAACAAUAAAAUUUUAAUUAAUUUUAUGGAUUUAAUAAUAUUUAAUUUAAGGUUUAUAAAUUCACAUUUGUAAAUUAUUGUUUUUGCUAACUAUCAACAAAGAAAAAAUACAAGUAUAAUAUUUUUUUCUAAAUCCUAACCUCUAAAUACCAAAAACAAACCCUAAACCCUAAAUUUCUAAACUUAAAUCAUCAACACAGAUUUUUUAAUUUUAAUUACGUGGCUGUGCAAUUCACAAGAUGAUUGGUGUUUUGCAUAGAUCUGCAGGAAGAGGGUCAAGGAUGAUAGUGUCACUUUCUUUGAAAACCUGAAGAAUCAUCACAAGAUGAAUCCAUAUAAGAGUUUCUAUUAAUCUAUUAAUCUUUGUACUUUUACUUUUAAAAUUUUGUAUUUAUACUUUGUAAUAUACUAUUUGUAUUAUGAUUUCAUAUAAUAUAAUAAAAUAUUGAAAUUUUAAUAUGUCAAUUUGUCCAGAAAAACUAAUAAAUUAAAAUAAAAAAAAAUAAAAAUUGAUAAAUCGAAAUAAUGUAUAAUACAAAUGCUAUUUUAGUGGAAUAAAAUUGCAUAUUAUAAAUGCUAUUUUAAUUAAAUAAAUUGCAUAUUAUAAAUGCUAUUCUAAUUGAUUAAAUUGCAUAUAAUAAAUGCUGUAAUUUUAUAAUUAAUAACAAAAUAUAUUUGCUAUUAAAAAAUAUUACAUUGCAUAAAAGAAUACGCUAUAAUAUAUACAUAAAAUAUAGCAAUACAAAAAACCGCUAUCGAAAGCCGUCGACCUAUUAUCAUGGGCGAAGAUAUAGCGCUUUUUACUUCGCUAUCGUUUCGUUAGAUAGCGUUAUUUGGCCGCUAAGAAUACUCAAUCCUGUAGUGAAUACUCGAAAUAAACAAUACAAGUACUUGACGAUUCUAUAAAUAGGCUUCUACUCCAUUUUAGUUUAGGCCUCUACGAAUUCAUAUCAUCCUAGAGGCAAUUCCUUACACUCUUAGACACGAAAGUUUAAAAGAGAUCUGCAUCCCUUAUACUAUAUCAUCAUGCAGCGUCCGGUCGGUUACAAACCAGCCCCGAGCCUUCGUAAGCCAUAACGUUACGGAGUUGCACGCAAAGCACAACAGACGGAUGGGAUAACUUGAUUCGACUAAUGCUAGUUAGCUAUUCAAUUCUAACUUACAAUAAUAGCAACAAUAACUAAUUGGCCAGCAUAACGAUUAUGUUACCGAAAAAUAGACAGCAUAACGGUUAUGUUGUCGAAAAAUGAGCAGCACAACAUUUAUACUACAAAUGAACAUCAUGCAUUCACAUUACAAAACACAAGUCAACCAAUUACUAAGUAUGAAUAUAAUAACCUUUAUUAACAAUUCAUAAUUAAUUUAAAUGAGUAAACACCUAAACAUGUGCUACGACACAUGUCCGAAACUUACUGGAGAUCCACGGACUCUCGGGAAAUGACUCAUCCUAAGCAUUUAUCUAACACACAUAAUCCUACUUAAUUAAAAACUAAUCGACGAUUACUUAAAACUAAACUAAAAUAUGAAACUUACCAAAUUCUCACGAUCGACUCCAGAACUAUUUCUAAGGUUUUCUGGUGGGAGCUUAUAUUUCUAAAGCCGAAACUGAUGGUUAUUUAUUGGUUUUAUGGACACUUGUCGAUGGUGGCGACACUAAGCAUCGUCUAUAGAUUACACCCGGACACGGAUCAGUGUGGAGACGACACCCGUACGUGAGUCAUCGCCCAUGUGUCGGCAAAACACUCUCGAUCACUCCUUUAAGUCGGCUGGCAGCAAGCAGGUGGGUGGCCGCUCUGAGACCACACAUUUUCCGUGGGCGGUACAUGGCGAUUUCUCGACCACAUGCUGCCCAAGCUGCUUAUGCACCUACUUGGUAUAGAACUUGGGCGAUGACGUGUUUGAUCGCUAGCCAUACACCGAUCGUAUGUCGAUCACACGUCCUUCGCGAGUCGAGCACACGUCAGCCGCAUGCUGAUCACGCGUUGUCCCGAUCGGAUCAUUCACGGGUACAUUUUCUUGGCAACAUUACUUGUUUCCUUACCCAAAUCUAAAAUCCGUCGACCAACUUUCAUUUUUUCUCGAUAGGUAUUAUCCCUUAAACUAACCUAGCCCAAUCCUACUGUUUCUUCGGAAGAUCAAAACUUUCUACCAUAAAUGACUAAGUCACUUGAUAUGUCUCGGAACAUGACAUGAUGAACGGUCGUAGCGUCAGUCUUACCUUAUGUGCGCCCGUCCAUAGACUAUAUGCAGGACAUUACAUUCUCCUACCCUUACUUUUUUCGAUAUGGCUACUAACUACCGUUCACCUUGCCUUAAUGUACUAGCUUUUCUAAUCUUCUUCAUAAUUUUCUUGCAACCUCUUUGGACUACCUAUCUUCUUGGUCUUCUCUUCUUAAUUCGUUAUUGAUGAUCUUCAUUUCUUCCUCAUGGCUCGCCAUUCUUCUUGUCACGACUCUUCUUAGUGUUACUCCUCCUUUGAUUCUUCCCAUAAAACUUCUCUUAUUUUACGUCACGUUCUAUGGUGGGUAAUCUUGUACAUCCCCUUUCAACUUCUUCUCCUAAUCUAACUUCCUUUAAUUUCUAACUUACCAUGACUAUCCCCUUGCUUUUCUUGAUUCUUGGGCAUUGUCAACUUGGUCCUUUAAGCUAAUUAACAUUGAGAAUAAAAAACUUGCUUUACUUAGUCGAGAAUAUUUAGGCAAUGCACACACAGCCUACUCAAUGAUUCCACUCUCUUUAGAUUCAUUAAUCACAACUUACGAAUUUUGGGUGGUUACUUACAAUACUAUUAGGGUUCCACCUAACUUUCUAAGGCUUUACUUAUCUUCUAAGGUUUUUGGAUUUUUGAAACUUGCAUUUCUACCUAAAAUAGGUUCUUAACUCUUAAUUCUUAUAUGAAAGAGGCUUAUCUAUGAAACGUUCGGAACGACGCGUGAUCGGCAUGCGGCGGACGUGUGCUCGACCCACGAAGGACGUGUGAUCGACAUACUAUCGGUGUGCGGCCGGCGAUCAAACAUGUCAUCGACCAGGUUUGGUACCAAGUAGGUGUGUAAGCAGCUUGGGCAGGAUAUGGUCGAGAAAUCGUCAUGUACCUCCCACAGAAAACAUGUGGUCUCGGAGCGGCCACCCACCUGCUUGCUUCCAGCCAACUUAAAGGAAUGGUCGGAGAGUGUUUUGCCGACACUUGGACAAUGACUUACAUUCGAGUGUCGCCUCCACACUGAUCCGUGUCCGGAUGUCGAUCUCCGGAUAUCAUAGUGUCGCCACCAGCGACAAGUGUCCCUGCCUCUGCCACCACCUUCUUGAUCGAUAACAUUAUUUUUAAUUUAUAUGACAUGAUGCCUAAAGUUUCUUUCUUUAUCGAUUUAUGUUUGGCCUUUUUUUAAUCAAUAUUAUUUUUUACAUUAAUUUAUCUAGUCAAUAUAACUUCGUAGAAAUUGAUUUUGAAGUUCCCUUUUUUUUUUGAAAAUUUAACUAGUUUAGUCAAGAGUUCAAAAAAAGACGUGGUGCAAUCGUGUUAAGGGGGAGCUAUAAGACUCUCAAGAUUGAUCAACCUAUUAUGUAAAUAACCAACUAAAAAAAAAAGAGGUGUACCUUGCUUUAUCAUUAUACUAUGAACUUUAAACAGUGCUUUAUAAUAAAUAAAAUAUCUAAUACUUAACGAAAAGAGAUUUCUUAAAACGAUUAUAUGAUGCUUUGUAUAGCUUUAAAAUUUGAUAUACAAAGUUCAACUAUUACAAGUACUUGUUAUAUACAACUAUAUUCGUUCUAGUUUUGAAGUUUUAUGAUGGUUGAUUAAUAAAAAAAAAUUUAUUGGUCGAAAAAUGUAAUUAUUAAGAAUUUUAAAUUUUAGGUAUGUACAUAGAUGUUGAAGUAUAUUUACUACAGCCAAAUAUUGUUCGCGACCUACUUGGAGGCGAUUCAGAGCGACAAGAAGGAGUUUGAUUUUUUCUCUUUAUCGUUAAUUUCUAGAAAUUUGAAUGUGAAGGCGGAUAAAUUGACACGACAUGUUCGUACCUUACCGCAACUAUCUACUUAUGUAAACAACAUUCCUCCACAUUGGUUCAUUUGAGCCAAUCCAAUAAAGCUGUUGACAAAAAAAAAAAAUAUUGUUUCUUUGAUUUAUCGUCUUGCAAUAAAAAUCUUGGGACUAAUCUCAGAUGUAGAUUGAUUAAAAUAAAUUAGAUUCACCAAUAAGAAGAUGUAUCUCUUUUUUGCUAAACUUUGUUUCCAAAUUUCAUUUCUUGCAAAUUACGUUUAAAAUUAAUGUAUAUUGGAAUCAUGUAGAUUUACUUUAAAAAUUGGAGCACAACUAAAAUACAUAGUUAUUUUGAAUAAAUAUGAUCUGAUGGCUCAUAAUAAGUAUUAAGUAGUUCUUAAAAUUUUAAAAAUUCUUAUUUCGUAAUAACAUAAUUAUCGAAGAACCAGUCCUUAUUUCAGACAAAUGUUUGAUUGCUAUUUGUUUAAAGCAAAAUUAUAUAGUUAAAUUGUUAUUUUCUACAAAAGUUUCUAAAAUAAUAAUUAAAAAAAAAAGUAAAUAAUUUUUCAAAUUUAUUUUGUAAAGAUAAAGUUGUUUCCUGUCCUUUGGACUUAUAUGAGGUAAGGUAAUUAAUCAUUUUACAGUUCUAAUUAAUAUAUUAAUUAGUUUGAAUUUCUUAUUUAUUCAAGAUUCAAAAGAAUAUUAAUACAAGACUUAAACAAUUUUCUAACCGUAGAUAUCAUAUUUAAAGAUAUGCAAAAUUUCAAGCUAAAAUAAGAUCAUGACCCGUGCUAUACAGCACGGAUUUUAAUAUUUUGUAUGGUUCAACGGUUUAAAAAAUAUUAACCCGCAGUACACCGCAGACUUAUAAUUUUAUUAAAUAUAAAAUUAAUUUUUUAAGGCCUUUCUUUUACAUAUAUGCUAUGAUUUUGUUUGUUUUAAACGUAUAUAUAUUAUACAUUGUAGGAUUAAUAUGUUUUAGGUUUCAUUUUUGAAAAUAUAGAGAUAUAGAAAAUUAUAUAGUUCAUUACAUACUAAUGUAUAGGGUAUUUAAAUAUGAAUUUAUUUUCUUGUUUACAUAAUAUAUAUAUGUGAAGAAUAUAUGAGAUUAGAAUGGGUUUAUAAAUUUUUAUUGAGCAAAUACAUAUUUAAAAUUGCAGUGUAUAUAUAUAUAUAUAUAUAUAUAUGUUGUGCAAAUAAAAUUAAAGUACACUAUGUGUAUAAUUGUUUAUCCAUUAUAAGUAAAAUCGAUAUUGUAUAUGCGUGUUGUUAUAUAUAAGGAAAAAAUGUGUAUUUCGAAUUAACAUAUGAAAAUUUUAAAUUUUAAAUUAUAUAUGUCUUGUGAAUUUUUUUUUGUUUAGUGUUUAAGAUUGUAUGAUUGUAUUUUAAUUGUUAAUUUUAGGAUUUUUCACCCGUGGUAUACCUUCCCGUUUUAAUGUCGACUCAAAUUUGUCCCACCAUAUAACCUCGUCCCGUAAAAUUAAACACCAUUUUGUAAUUUUAUUAAUAAUAAUUUAUUUAAAAUAUAUAAUUCGAAUAAAUUUAAAAGUUUGCUUUAAAUAGUUCUCAUAAUAUAUAGAUUUUUAAUUUGUAUAGAGUUAAAAUAUCAUUAAUAUUAUAAAAAAAGUUAGUUUGAAAAAUGAAAGACAAUCAAUAAGAAGACACAUUACAUAACUAUAUUUGUAUAUAGUAUAAAAAAGGGUAUAAUGUUUUUUGCUUUCUUUAUUUUUUUGGUAAAAUGUCAAUCUUUUUUUUCACUUGAAAAAAAGAGUCGAUCCAAUUGUUCAUACAAAAAAUCUUUAUCCCCUCUGAUUAUCUUACUGAUUCAGCACAGAUCUUUUUUCGAUUACAACUAUGAAUUAAAGAUUUGAAAAAAACAUGUUCAAUAACACCCUGAUUCAACCCAUUAUUUCGAUUCAGUAACCUAUCCCACAAUUAAUUAGGAUUAAAUAUUUAGAGACUAAACCAAACCCAUUUAAUAAGAAACAACUUUACAACCACGUGACCUUAGCCCAAGGUCCACAAUUCCGGUUUAAUAAUCAAAUUCCAAAACCCAAACAAACAAUCGCACAAACCACCACCACUACACGUGACCAUCAUCACAAGUCAUCUCACGAUUCCAAGUUUUGAUUCUGGAUUUCAAUUACACAAGCCAUCUCUUGGUUUAGCUUGGUUUAGUUUCACGGUUUAAUAAUCGCAACAACACCAAGCAACACAUACACUAAGACAUGGAUUUGUAGAAUAUCUUCUUCGGCAAGUUUUCUCGAUGGUUUGAUCUGACUGUUUGAACGGCAAAGUGGAUCUGCGAUGGUCCAGAUCCAAACCUAAUUUCAAAGAGAUCCGAGUUCUACACCACCAAGCUAAAGCUCUAUUACCCACCGUUGAACCAACAUCUCACCGUCACCGUCGCCGUCACAGCCACUAAUUCCCUACCCGUACACAGCAUCACCUAAAGCUCGAUGAUAAACCGUUGCAACAAUCUCUCCAUUCGACAUCUAUUUUCACCAUAAACUCAAAAGUAGCAGCCAUGUGAAGAGGAAAAAGGUGGGUUAAAUGUUUUUUCUUGCAAAUCGUGACUUUUUUUUGUUUGAUGAUAAAGAUCCACAUUUAGGUGUAGAGUAUUUAUAGGGUCAAAAUUAGGUCACUAAUCCCUAUCACUUCACGCAAAAAAUAUUCGAAGUAGCAACAAAUUGGAGAAAAAAUCUUUGGAUUCGUUAGUAUUUUGGAAUAUGCCGAGAUUUUAAUAUUUAAGAGUCAUAACUUUGUUUCUUUAAAUGGAUUUUGUUGAGAUACUAGAGAAAGAAAAUCUCCAAAAAUAAAGGUGGUGAUUAAUUAGUUGAAAGAUUAGUUGGAAUUAGGUAGAAUUGAAAACGUUAAAUCGAGAAUAUACACUCGAAUAUAGCAACAUACUCGAGAUUUAGUUUGCUUAAUAUCUUUAUUUAAUUUUGCAAAUUUAAAUAAUAAAUGCUAAUGGCAUGCCGAUUAAUGUGGGAAUAAAUUAAGGAAAGAGAGUUAAAUGGGUAAUUAAAGAUUACAAACUUCCUUCAAUCUCUUAUCCAGGAUCCGAACAAAUUAAAACCGGGUCAAAACCCGAUCCAUUUGAAUUAAAAACCAAAAUCCCCUCUAAAAAUGUAUAUGUAGAUAUAAUGUAAUUUCUUACACUUCUCAAACAAAAUAUACAAUUUUCAAUGAUAUAUCACUUUCAUUAAAAUUUUUGAUAACAUGUUCGAAUAAUGGAUUACUAUAUAAGAUUUUCAAUAACAUUUUCGAUCACAUUUUCGAAUAAUAUAUUAGUAUAUAACAUUUUUACUAAUUGUGUUACAUUUUCGAAUUGAUUAGUAUAUAAUAUUUUCAAAUCAUAUUAAUUGUGUAAUCGUUUGAAGAAAAUUUUUUCAGAAUUAUAUGUAUUAUAUAAACAAAAUCUUUUAAUAUCUUUAAACACGUUGACCCGUUGACCUGUUUAUAUAUAUUAGUGACAUGGAAUAAAUUUUAUGAUUAGAAUUAUAUAAUGACAUAUAUUGUAAUUUCUUACAAAAUAUAAGUUAUGACUCUUAGGAUGUACUUCCCAAAUAUUAGUAUAGGAUGCAAACUAAUUAUUUUUCUCAAAGCGAAACAUCAGUUUAUAUAACAACCGAUUGACUGUCUUUGGACUUAUGACUUGAAACACUUAUGUUAUCAACAUUCUUGGUAGAUUGAUUAUGACAAAAAAAAUAAAAAAAAACUCAAAUUUAGUUUUAAGCAUAAAAUUUUGGUUCGAAAUUUUUUAAGCAAAACAUAAGACUAUAUCAUGCUAUGGAAACAGAUUAUUGGCUCCGAUACCAUUAGUUUCAGCAAAUACUAGGUUAGAAAACUAGCCUAUAAAAAAAAUAAAACUUUUCAAAAUCACAAAUGUAUUAAACGUAUAAAGAAAAGUUGAUAUGAUCAAAAUUUUCUUUACUCUCUUACUUAUUUGCAACAAUCGAAAAUUAAAAAAAUGAAAAUAUCAAAGAGAGUAUAAAGAUUUGUAGCAUGGAAUUUUAUCUCACAAAACCACAAACGUUUAUAUUUUAUAUUUGUACAAACAAAGUUGAUAAGAACCUGUCGUGCGUAAUCCAUGAUGUAUAUCUUUUUUUCUCUUAAGAUUGUACUGAAGAUCUUGUCUUUUUGAUGACACUUGAGUCGGCAGAUUUUAUUUUUCGGUGUUGAUCAUAUCAAGCUGGAAAUGUUGAGUGAUCAUAUCAUCUUUGAAGUGGUAGAAUCUGUCCUUUUAUGUUUAAUCUUCAGUUUUGUGACAUCUAUCCUCUUGAAUGUCUUCGUGUCUUGAGUCGGUAAUCCUUUGUCUUUGUUUUUUUUUCUCUUAGUUUACGCCUUUUGGUAACGGAUUGGGUAACCUUGUUCUUUUUCGUAUUCUUUUUUUUUUUUUUUUUCACAAUAGUGUUCUUUAUAGAUUAUGGAGCCAAUACAACUAGUAAACAGUCAAGCCUAUUACAAGUUCUGAAAAAGAUAACAAACUAAGCUUAUAGGCUGUCGUAAGCAAGCUGGAAAGGAUCAAAGAUUGGCAACAAACUAACAAGGACUUAAUAGAAGGAGCAAAUCUAGCAGAAAUUCUAACAGAAAAUAAAAGACUAAGAGAGGGUUGAACGAAUCUCUCACUUAACCCCUGUCCCAGGAACCUUUACACUUAACGCGAGACCGGCAGAGCCAUGAGUGCAAUUGAAUCAACCCAAAACUUCUGCAAGAGUCUCGACCAUUGAGAUCCUAAAGCUUGAAAGGAAGGUAACAACUUCAACGACCCGCUUCUCAAUAUCAAACCCAAGUAACGCAGACGAGAGAACAAGGAGGAGUCUGCGAAAUAAACCAAGACGGGAAACACCAACUACAACGAGAAGGAAAGCUGAAGGAAGAUCAACUCCCUAACUCAGAGCAAGCAAAUAAACCUAGUCUGGAGCUUCCACAAUCAAGAGAAGCACAAGCCACAAAACAUACCACAAACAGCAAGACCAAGUUACCAUACCUGAUUACACCAAUGAUAUAGAACUAGAGACUGAGAGCCCCAAAAUCCGGACCAAACGUCUAAGACGUACUACCAGACCUUAGAAAAGGCCAACAAAACAACCAAUUCUCAUAUGAAGACCAAGCCAAAGAUUGAAACCAUCCUAAAUUACCCACGACUAAACAUCUAAAACUAAACUGAUUGAGAUAGCAUUCACUAAUUCUAUCUCUGUUAUUCAAGAUUGAAACCAGUACCUAUUACACAGCCUAAGACAAGAUUUAAAGCCGGCAAGGGUCGAAACCCCUCCAGAAACAAAGCCGGCGAGUUUAAAGGAAACUCCCGGAGCCAAAAGCCCGAUUAACGGGAAACUGCAGACUGCCGAAUCAGGAUUCAAAACCUAACCAAGAGAUCGAAGAGAGCAAAGGUAAGGCGGUUACAAACACAGCUUCCAAUUCCGGUGAGGCAUACGCGAUGGAGAUCUGAGAAGCAACUCCGCCAAGCGAAUCCAAGCUCUGAAACAAGUUCGCCUCAACGCUUCCGCAACGGCGACAUCAUCUCCGGUGAUCGAGCUCUCGCCGUUUCCGUCCAACAACCUGUCGGAGAAGAGUGGCGGCGAAUCGCGUCUCCGCUUGGGUUUCACUAUCGCCCACCGCCUCGCCUUUCUUUCCUCUCUCUCUUCCGUGAUGGCUUAAAGUAAUUUUCUUCUUUUUCGUAUUCUUACUUCUAUUUUUCUUGUUAUUUUUACUUUUUAUUUAUAUCUUUCAUCUUUACUUUUUCACAUAAAUACAUUUCUUUCUGACAUAAAUACAUUGCAUUUAUUUAAUAGUUGUCAAUCAUACAAGUUUUCGUUUUUGUGGAUUGGAUCAUAAAUAAUAUCGUUUUCAUUAGUCUUGUAAUAACCUUGAUUAUGACUUAAAUAUCAAACCGAAAGACGUGAAUACGAUUAAUCGACAAAAUAUUGAUUAUGACUUAAAUAUCAUACCUACUCCUAUUAAUCAAGGAAAAGAAAGAUUGAUCAUACCUUUAGUUGGAGUAGUUAUUAAAGAUAAACCUGAAGAUUAAUAGGAGUAGGUAUAUGGAUAAUCCGUUUAAGUUCGGAUAAAUGGGUAAUGAAUUUAUGAUCCGUUCGGAUAUUUCUAAACAUUCGGUUCCGGUCCGGUUCGGGUAUCGUCAGGUUCGGAUCAGUUUAGAUAAAAAAAUUUAGACCCUAUAAAUACCCGAAAAAUAUGGGUACCCGUUCGGUUCGGAUAUUUUAUAUGUAAAAUGUCGGGUUUUGUACGUAAAAUAUCGGGUAUCCGAAAAAACCUUAAAAAUUUAUUAAAUUUGAAUAAAUUUUAGCUAUAUCUGAAUACAUUUUACUAAAUUUUGACAAACAUAACAAAUAAUUUUUGGGUAGUUUGGUUGUUUUGGGUAUUUAAGUUUAAAGUUAAUUGACAUAUUUUGAUUUAUAAUUGUAAUUCUAGAUAACUAAAUUAUAUAUAAUUAAUAUUUUGGAUAUUUAAUUAUAUUUUCGAGUAUUCGGGUAUCUUGUUUGGGUAACGGGUAAUACCCGGACCGAUCCGAUACCCACGUGUUUACAAAAACUGUAUCCAAUGAGGUAAUUUCCUCUUACCCGUAUCCGUCCCGAACCGGUUUUUUCGGUCCGGGUAUCGAUCUGGGUUUCGGGUCCGAUUUUUUUGCACAAGCCUAAAUGGGGCCAUCAAUCAAAAAUCAGAAACUUUUGUGACGAACAAAUAACCGAACCGUUGAUACAUGAAUUAAAAGAAAGCGGAAUGGUAGGGAAUCAUUUUGAAAGAAUUUAAUAAUGCACUAAGGAAUAAGACCAAGAGGAAGGAGUUAUCAAAAUGGUGAUAUUUUGUAAGGAAAGACUUAUUGUCGAAAACCGAUACUAGUCAUCAUCACUACUCACUAGAAGGAAAAUGAUCAGACUAAUCAAUCUUGACCUGGGUAAAGUCAAAUAUUUGGCAGAAUGGUCCCUCGGCCACUCGACAGACUAAUAGUACGGUCUGUCGAGUGGCCGAGGGAGCUCCGUGUAAGCUGCAUGGCUGGUUUAUCAGCAUUCUAUAGCUAAAAGGCUGCCACGACCAAGCAGGUGGAUAAGGCGGACAGUUGCCUACUUCUGAUUGUGGCAACUCACCUGGCAGCGUAUAUGUUUCACCGGAAGUUGUUGUGUGUCGCAUCGUGAAGCAAAUGCAGUGAUGAAUCGCCGCCGUGUGUAAACUAACCGACCUUGUAGCAUUAUUUAAACUCCUAAUCCGCCCAUAAGUUUCUCAUUCGAUAACUUGACGGAAAACUUUUGGUGACCGAUUUCGGUAGUUUCUCAUAUAUGAGAUUCACUAAAAACAUUUAGGUCUACAAGUUUGGUUUUGCUUCUAGAAGUUAGAAUAUAAACUUUGUCUAGAUAGAUCCUUCGAAAUUUCAAAAACUUGCUUAUUGUACGAAAACGUUACUUUUUUCUUGAAUUAAUUUAAUAUUAUAUUCAAAAACAAAAUUGUAGUGGUACCGUAUCUUCGUGAAUAAAGAAAUUUUAUUAUUCAAAUUAAUUAACCCUAAUAAAGCUUAUGAACAAAUCAUAUAUACGAAAAGCAUUCUGUCAAAUAUUAUGUGUCAUUAUUGUAAUGAUUCCACAUUAUAUAAUAUUCUAAUUAUCAUCUCUAUAUAUUAUCCAUUUGCUUUUUAUAUAUUUUAGUUUUUCCCACACUGCUCCUCGCCUUCAACUCUCUAACUCUCUUUCUCUAUCUCUCUGUCUCUCAAACACUAUGGAAUCCCAAACAACGUUCAAAUGUGAAAGUCAUGCGUUCACAAAGUUGUCUCACUCUCAAUGGACUGAUUACUUCCUCUCUGUUCCUAUCGAUGAAUUGGUGAGACAUUUAUACUAAUUAUAUAUUCACUAUAGUAUAUUGACAUGAAAAACAUAUAAAGACUUUUAUGUUUUUAGAUGUUAAAAAAAAGACUGUUAUGAUUUUCUUAAUAUAUAUAAGUUCUCCGGCAGAUAAUAGUAAUAAUGAAAAACUUUACAUGAAAAAGAUCUUUGACUAUGUAUAAACCUAAUAAUAGGAACUAGGUGUUAUUACAAGAGAGAUUGAAAUACUCAAGCCUGAAGUUAGGGAGCUUCUAUCUUCCCACGGUGAUGAUGAGACAUCGAAGAGGAAAGUGCUUUUGAUCCAAUUACUUCUAAGUCUUGGUCUCGCAUUUCAUUUUGAAAAUGAGAUCAAUGAUAUACUAGAACAUGCUUUUCGAAAGUUAGAUGAUAUAAUUGGUGAUGAAAAGGACUUGUCUACAAUCUCCAUCAUGUUCCGCGUUUUUAGAACAUACGGACACAAUUUAUCAUCAAGUAAGACAAUUAUUUAGUCGGUGGCAACAAAUUUACUACUGUUUAUAUAAUUUUGUAACAAAGUAUUACCAUGUCAAUGCAAAUUUGAUUUGUUAUCUCUCGCAUCUUUAUUAUUAAUGAAUAAAUCUUUUCGUCGUGUAGAUGUAUUCAAGAGAUUUACAGGGGAUGAUGGGAAGUUUGAGCAAUCUCUUACAGAAGAUGCUAAAGGUAUACUUAGCUUGUAUGAACAGAGCCGUAGCUGGAUAGAAGCAAGAGAAGCGGGAGCUGCGGCCCUCCGAGAAGUUAUUAAUAUUUUCGGCCCUCAAAUACCACAUAUUUUAGGUCAUGAGUUUGAAUCACCUGAAGCGUGAGAGAAGUUUUUUUUUUGUUUUUUGUUUUUUUUUUUAUGGUUCAAUUUUUUUAUAAGUAUACACUUUUCUAGAGCGGUCCUUUUUUUUUUUUUCGCGGGCGGCCCUCAUAAUCGUUGCUACGGCUCUGUGUAUGAAGCCGCUCACUUGGGAACAACGACAGAUUAUGUAUUGGACGAAGCAUUGAGGUUCACAUCGAACCACUUGAAGUCUUUAUUGGCAGGCGGGACGUGCCAGCCUCAUAUCUUAAGGCUUAUAAGAAACACGCUUUAUUUACCUCAACGUUGGAACAUGGAAGCAGUAAUUGCAAGGGAAUACAUUACGUUCUACGAACACGAAGAAGAUCACGACAAGACGCUACUCAGAUUAGCCAAGCUAAAUUUCAAGUUAUUGCAGCUGCAUUACAUCAAAGAACUCAAAACUUUUAUCAAGUAGGAAAAAAAUCUAUUAAUGGUCAAUUCUUGAGAAAGUUCAUAACUCCAAUAUUAAAUAAUUCGUUUCUUUUCUCGUUUUCUUUGUUGGUUUGGAUUUUAAGAUGGUGGAUUAUUAGAAUAUUAGUAGAAUUGGUUUACUUUGGUUAUUGUAUCUGGUUUAGUUCUUUAGUAUAUAAGCUUAACCAUGUACACAUUUUACGAUUGAGGAAGUAAUAACAGAAAUAUCUUAUCUUCUUCUUCCUCCUUCGCUCUCUCCUUCCAUGGAGAUUCUCGAUUACUAACAUGGUAUUAGAGCGUUGAGCCCAAGCUCAACCGAUUCAUGACCUAAAUUCUCCGGCGAUUCAACUCCGAUCUCGAUUCCGGUCCGUUCGAAGAUUACGGCGUCGUACGGUCAAUUUCGAAGAUUUGAGCUUGAUUUUCGUCAAGAUUGGAGUUCAUGAUGCGAUUUCAGCUUGUUGUAGUCAUCUUUCUUCUAUCCAUUGAUCGUGUGUUUCCUCCGAUGACGAAGAAACGAUCCAAACCCAGAAAUCGCAACUCAACUACUGAUCCAGAGAAUGUUUCACCUCGCGCUAGUAGAUCUCGUUCGCAUCGAGAGAUUUCGUGUCGUGAUUCUUCUUCGAUUGUUAUCAAUCGUGUUUCUUCUGGAUUUGAUGGUUAUAUCUUUGGAUCUCUAUCUCGACCACCGGAGAAUUGUUCCGAUUUGCUUCCGCGAUGCAAUUUUGUUGGUUUGGUACAAUUUCUGAAAUCUCUCUUUAAGCGUAUAGCUUCUAGAUAUAUCUCUGUCGAUGCUGUUGUUUCAAUAUGGAGAUUUUUGGAAUGUGGAUGUGUUAUUAGAGAGAUGAAGGUUUCGAUAGGAAGUUUUCAACAGAAUGUUGAAUAUGGAAUUGGUGACAGAUGGUUAGUAAUGUUGCUAGAGUAUCUUGUCUUCACAUUCCGAACAUAUGAGCAGCAAGUUUCUAGAGGAUGCAACAAGAAUUGCUUGAUUCUCAUUUAUGACUUCUGCAAGUUCACAAGAUUUAGAUUCUUUGUUGAGUCAUCCACCUUAUGGUUUGGUGUUGUUCAUGACUAAUAUACAGUUUCAGAAAGUAGUUUUAGGCAUCAGAAUCCUUUAAGACAGGGGGAGAAUUUUAAGUUUGCUGUUGUUAUAAGCUGCUUAGACCUCUAUGGAGAUGAUUGCUAUGGCUUUCUGCAAUUGGAGUUACUGGUUUAUGAAGUUUAUGUGGAAAUGUUAAUAAACUAUGGAGGAUUGAGAGUGUUGGCUCCUCCUUAUGAUGGCAGAUUUUGAUUUUGCUGGACAUGGUUUGUGCUUUCCGCAAGAACUCUUUGGCUGGUUGAAGUGUUUUCUAUUGGUUGUGAUUGCAUGUAGGAGGAUAGAGAUUCACAGUGAUGUUGUGUUUGCCUUGUGUGCAACACUUGAGUUGCUGUUGACAUAAAAUCCACUACAGCCACAUCUACGGCCAAAUCCUAUGUUGUAUGGACUUGAUUGCCAUGAAGUGGUGGUUCAGCAAAGUUGGAGUAGUGUUGAUGGGUACAAUGAAACUGUGGUGAAGAUGACAGUGACAAUUGUGGCCUCUAUUUCUCAAACAAUAAGCUUUGUAUGCAAGUGUUUGAUGAGGUUGUUUAAGGAUCCUGUUUCACAUCCGGUAUACUCACUCGCUCUUUUUUCUGCUGCUGCCCAAAUUUGUGCGUCAAGUUCCUCUAUGGAUAUUGUUGGCACAAGAUCGCCACUGUUCUUUGGAGCACAUAGCUGCUACUGCAACAUCAAAGGUGGCUUCACUUUUUUUUUUUUACAAGGACAGAGCAUCGACAUUGACAUUAUUGGACUGAGAAUUUUGGAUCAUUCUUUACCAAGACUAGUUGAAGUUUUCAUGUCCAAGAUGAGAAUCCCUUCUCAUCUUGAGGGGGAGUAUUAGAAUAUUAGUAGAAUUGGUUUACUUUGGUUAUUGUAUCUGGUUUAGUUCUUUAGUAUAUAAGCUUAACCAUGUACACAUUUUACGAUUGAGGAAGUAAUAACAGAAAUAUCUUAUCUUCUUCUUCCUCCUUCGCUCUCUCCUUCCAUGGAGAUUCUCGAUUACUAAC
rnacentral:lncRNA from 1 species